AGAGUUUGAUCAUGGCUCAGGAUGAACGCUGGCGGUAUGCCUAACACAUGCAAGUCGAACGAUGUCUUCGGACAUAGUGGCGGACGGGUGAGUAACGCGUGAGAAUCUGCCUCUAGGAUGGGGAUAACGGUUGGAAACGACCGCUAACACCCAAUAUGCCGUAAGGUGAAAAAUUUAUUGCCUGGAGAGGAGCUCGCGUCUGAUUAGCUAGUUGGUGGGGUAAGAGCUCACCAAGGCUUCGAUCAGUAGCUGGUCUGAGAGGAUGAGCAGCCACACUGGGACUGAGACACGGCCCAGACUCCUACGGGAGGCAGCAGUGGGGAAUUUUCCGCAAUGGGCGAAAGCCUGACGGAGCAAUACCGCGUGAGGGAGGAAUGCCUUUGGGUUGUAAACCUCUUUUCUCAGGGAAGAAGAUCUGACGGUACCUGAGGAAUAAGUAUCGGCUAACUCCGUGCCAGCAGCCGCGGUAAUACGGAGGAUGCAAGCGUUAUCCGGAAUCAUUGGGCGUAAAGCGUCCGCAGGUGGUUUCCAAAGUCUGCUGCUAAAGACUGGAGCUCAACUCCGGAACGGCGGUGGAAACUUGGAAACUAGAGUUCGGUAGGGGUAGCAGGAAUUCCCAGUGUAGCGGUGAAAUGCGUAGAUAUUGGGAAGAACAUCGGUGGCGAAGGCGUGCUACUGGACCGUAACUGACACUCAGGGACGAAAGCUAGGGGAGCGAAAGGGAUUAGAUACCCCUGUAGUCCUAGCUGUAAACGAUGGAAACUAGGUGUGGCUUGUAUCGA
rnacentral:rRNA from 1 species